CGAGCCGGGCGGACGGCCGCGUGGAGUCCCCCUGACGGGGUGCUCCCCGAGGAACGUCCGGGCUCCACAGGGCAGGGUGAUGGCUAACGGCCACCCGGGGUGACCCGCGGGACAGUGCCACAGAAAGCAGACCGCCGGGGACCGUAUCCGUACGGCCCUCGGUAAGGGUGAAACGGUGGUGUAAGAGACCACCAGUGCCCAGGGUGACCUGGGCAGCUAGGUAAACCCCACCCGGAGCAAGGUCAAGAGGAGCGCCGUAAAACGCGCUCUGCGCGGACGUUCGAGGGCUGCCCGCCCGAGUCCGCGGGUAGACCGCACGAGGCCGGCGGCAACGCCGGCCCUAGAUGGAUGGCCGUCGCCCCGAGGCCCGCGAGGACCUCGGGGAACAGAACCCGGCGUAUGUCCCGACUCGUCUG
rnacentral:RNase_P_RNA from 1 species